UAGCUCAGUGGUAGAGUGCUUGCCUAGCAUGCAUGUAGCCCUGGGUUCCAUCCCUAG
rnacentral:tRNA from 1 species